rnacentral:rRNA from 1 species
GUGGGGAAUCUUGCGCAAUGGGCGAAAGCCUGACGCAGCCAUGCCGCGUGAAUGAUGAAGGUCUUAGGAUUGUAAAAUUCUUUCACCGGGGACGAUAAUGACGGUACCCGGAGAAGAAGCCCCGGCUAACUUCGUGCCAGCAGCCGCGGUAAUACGAAGGGGGCUAGCGUUGCUCGGAAUUACUGGGCGUAAAGGGCGCGUAGGCGGACAGUUUAGUCAGAGGUGAAAGCCCAGGGCUCAACCUUGGAAUUGCCUUUGAUACUGGCUAUCUUGAGUACGGGAGAGGUGAGUGGAACUCCGAGUGUAGAGGUGAAAUUCGUAGAUAUUCGGAAGAACACCAGUGGCGAAGGCGACUCACUGGCCCGUUACUGACGCUGAGGCGCGAAAGCGUGGGGAGCAAACAGGAUUAGAAACCCGUGUAGUCC